GCAUCAUAGUGAUUUGGGUUCUCUCCUACCCGAAGUGUAUAUGAUACUCAAGGAUAAAGGAAGCAACUUCUCCAUCUUUGCGUCCAACUUCCUCCUCGUUCCUAGUGAUGGAAGAAGGAACCAAAAGAGACUCCGAAGAGCCCCCAGGAGCAAUGAGCAACAAGGCGUAGGUACCUGCUGAGCUCCUUGAACUCACUGCUUCCUUGACGCCUCUGGAGGUGGUGGUUUCUGGUGACCAGGAUGACAUCCACUGGGAUACCCCACUUGCCCUGGAGCCUGCAGAUGGCAUCCUGGAAAACUUGGCAGAAGCUG